rnacentral:lncRNA from 1 species
UUCAUUGUGCUGUUUGUGGUCUUUAUGAUGGGAAUGUUCAACCUCUUCUCCUACAUUGGUGCAAGACAAAAUGAAGCCUUCACAACAGAGUUUUAAGACACUGUUCUGGGCUAUAUGUGGACUUUCUGAAGUGAAAUCAGUGGUUACAAUGAUAACCACAAAUUCAUUGAAAACAUUGGUUAUGUUCUUUAUGGAGUCUAUAAUGUUACAAUGGUCAUUGUUUUGCUAAAUAUCUUAAUUGCCAUGAUCAACAAUUCAUUCCAGGAAAUUGAGGAUGACGCUGAUGUGGAGUGGAAAUCUGCAAGGGCCAAACUCUGGUUUUCCUGCUUUGGGGAGGGGAGAGCACUUCCUGUUCCUUUCAAUCUGGUACCAGGUCCAGGGUCCCUGUUUUGUCUCUUGCUGAAGCUUAAAGGGUAGAUUUCUGAGCUCUACUCAGGGUCAUAAAAAAGGUUUCCAGGAAAGAU